UACGUAGGUGACAAGCGUUGUCCGGAAUUAUUGGGCGUAAAGAGCUCGUAGGCGGUUUGUUGCGUCGGCUGUGAAAUCCCGAGGCUCAACCUCGGGUCUGCAGUCGAUACGAGCAAACUAGAGUGUUGCAGGGGAGACUGGAAUUCCUGGUGUAGCGGUGAAAUGCGCAGAUAUCAGGAGGAACACCGGUGGCGAAGGCGGGUCUCUGGGCAACAACUGACGCUGAGGAGCGAAAGCGUGGGGAGCGAACAGG
rnacentral:rRNA from 1 species